AGACAACUUUGAUUCAUUCUCAUUUUAUUGUGAUACAGUGAAGUCUAAAGGGGAAUUUCCUAAGAGCAGAAUCUCAAAAAUGUAUAAAAAAGGCACUGAAUUUAGCUUAAAGGCAAUAUAUAUGUUUGCAAUGUAUGUUCACACCCACCUUUCUGCAAACCAAUAAAUAUCAGUCCAGUGAGCAUCUCAGACACUUUCUGAUCUUCGACUCAUUGAGACUCUUUCAUUCACACCAGCUCAAGAACAGCACGAAGGAUGAGAACGGAGGUUUUCCUAAUGUUCCUCAUGAUUCUGGUGUUCACUGAUGGAUGGGAUAAUAUCGGCUUCAGCCAUAAGCAACGGGUUCUUUUCAACUCCGCACCCUGCCUGACAUCUGGGAACAACAACGCAUAUAAUAUUUUUGAACACCAACAUAUUCUCUCAUAUGAUUUUGACAGAAACAGUAAACAGGCUUGGGCAGAUUACCUAAAUGAUAUGGAACUUUGUGGCAGAAAACCUUUACAGUCUUUCCUUCCUGGAUACUACACUGAUAGUAUUAAAAGAAUCUGCAACGGACAAGGCACUGAAGUCGAAAGAAACUUGUGCAUUAGUACGGAUAUGUUUUUGGUGUACAUUGUUCAAAGUGCUUUGGUAAAUAACAGGUGUGAAGUUCAUGUUCGCCAUAGUAGUUUUUAUGUGACUGUUGCUUGUGAUGUCAUUGAUAAUGAAUGUUUGCCUGUUCACUAUCAGACACAAACUAGCAAUGAGCCAGACCAACGUGGUUCAAUCUGCAAACUUCAUCACUGGCCACACCUACGUUUUUAACCAUUAAUUAAAAUGUUGGUUUGCCAUAUGCAUGUUUAAACUCCAGAAUCUCUCAAUAAAAGCUUUCUUUGCAGA